rnacentral:rRNA from 1 species
AUACCUACGGGACGCAGCAGUGAGGAAUAUUGGUCAAUGGUCGGGAGACUGAACCAGCCAAGCCGCGUGAGGGAUGAAGGUACAGAGUAUCGUAAACCUCUUUUGUCAGGGAACAAAGGCGGGGACGCGUCCCCGGAUGAGUGUACCUGAAGAAAAAGCAUCGGCUAACUCCGUGCCAGCAGCCGCGGUAAUACGGAGGAUGCGAGCGUUAUCCGGAUUUAUUGGGUUUAAAGGGUGCGCAGGCGGUCUGUUAAGACAGAGGUCAA